GGGCUGGCUUUAGCUCAGCGGUUCCUUCGACUUUGCAUUGUGUAAACCACCCUUUCGAGGGAGGUUCGAGACCCGCGGGCGCUCUCCAACCCUUUU
rnacentral:vault_RNA from 1 species